rnacentral:misc_RNA from 1 species
UGGCUAAGCAAAAAGGGGAGAA